UGGAGCACACGGCUAGUCCCACAU
rnacentral:piRNA from 1 species